GUGGGGAAUAUUGGGCAAUGGGCGCAAGCCUGACCCAGCAACGCCGCGUGAAGGAAGAAGGCUUUCGGGUUGUAAACUUCUUUUGACAGGGAAGAGCAGAAGACGGUACCUGUCGAAUAAGCCACGGCUAACUACGUGCCAGCAGCCGCGGUAAUACGUAGGUGGCAAGCGUUGUCCGGAUUUACUGGGUGUAAAGGGCGUGCAGCCGGGAAAGCAAGUCAGAUGUGAAAUCCCGCGGCUCAACUGCGGAACUGCAUUUGAAACUGUUUUUCUUGAGUACUGGAGAGGCAGGCGGAAUUCCUAGUGUAGCGGUGAAAUGCGUAGAUAUUAGGAGGAACACCAGUGGCGAAGGCGGCCUGCUGGACAGCAACUGACGGUGAGGCGCGAAAGCGUGGGGAGCAAACAGG
rnacentral:rRNA from 1 species